AAAUUGUGUUUAAACAAAAAGAAUAAAUUUCAAGGGUUGAGUCUGCGUGUGGUGCUGGGGCUUGAACUUCUAGAUGAUGCUCUAUUAUACAUAGUUCAGUUUUUGAUCACGUGGAAGCUGGUUGUUAUCUGAAUCUGGUGUUGAACCCCUUAUGCAGAAAAGAAAAUAGAGAGUGAAAUCCGUAGAGUGGGUGCUGAGAUUUUGUCUGCUGUUCGUCAGCAGGACACAAUUGGUGGACAUCCUCGAUAAUCUCAAAGAAAAACCAGAUGUUGGAACAUUGUUGCUGCUAAGCUCCUUUUUUGUACCUAGUUUUCUAAAGUGUGACAAACUCAUAUUUUCAUUGGUUUAAUUGGUCUGUUGAAGUGCUAAAUGCCGAGUUUAUCACACGAAAUUGUCUUUGUCCAGCCGAUUAUUCCAUCUUUUGGAGUUUUAUGUGUUUGUUGAGCGUUUUAGGAAAAACAUGUGGAAAAGAGGCAAAAAUGGAGCGUCUAAAAGGGGCACCCGGCCGGGUGCAUUAUUAGUGCAAAAAUUCCACCCGGCCGAGUGAGUUUCCAGUGUAAUAACUCCACCCGGCCGGGUACUGUAGAGUGACGAGUCUGGCAGCAGAAAUGUGAUUUUUGAGGAGGAAAAUUCAGAAGAAAAGGCUAGGGUUCGAGACUAAGAGAUUCAUUCUACACCCACCGCCUCCUACACUCCCAAGAACACUGGGAAGAGAGAUUUGAAGAUUGAAGACUACAAAUCAAGAGAUUGAAGUUUCCAUUCCAUAGAAUCGUUCCACAGGAGUAUUUAUUUGCUUUAUUAUGUAUUCGAUUGAAUCCUUUGUUUUGGUUUUCAUGAAGAACAUGAGUAGCUAAAUUUAUUGUGGAGUUUUGGUGAAGACUACAAUGGAUGUUUGUGAUUAAUUCAAGGAGUUGUUUAGAUUGCUUA